rnacentral:rRNA from 1 species
AGCGAACGCUGGCGGCAGGCUUAACACAUGCAAGUCGAGCGGGCACUUCGGUGUCAGCGGCAGACGGGUGAGUAACACGUGGGAACGUACCCUUCGGUUCGGAAUAACGCUGGGAAACUAGCGUUAAUACCGGAUACGCCCUUUUGGGGAAAGGUUUACUGCCGAAGGAUCGGCCCGCGUCUGAUUAGCUAGUUGGUGGGGUAAUGGCCUACCAAGGCGACGAUCAGUAGCUGGUCUGAGAGGAUGAUCAGCCACACUGGGACUGAGACACGGCCCAGACUGCUACGGGAGGCAGCAGUGGGGAAUAUUGGACAAUGGGCGCAAGCCUGAUCCAGCCAUGCCGCGUGAGUGAUGAAGGCCUUAGGGUUGUAAAGCUCUUUUGUCCGGGACGAUAAUGACGGUACCGGAAGAAUAAGCCCCGGCUAACUUCGUG